GAUGAACGCUAGCUACAGGCUUAACACAUGCAAGUCGAGGGGAAACGACAUCGAAAGCUUGCUUUUGAUGGGCGUCGACCGGCGCACGGGUGAGUAACGCGUAUCCAACCUGCCCACCACUUGGGGAUAACCUUGCGAAAGUAAGACUAAUACCCAAUGAUAUCCCACGAAGGCAUCCGAAUGGGAUUAAAGAUUUAUCGGUGAUGGAUGGGGAUGCGUCUGAUUAGCUUGUUGGCGGGGUAACGGCCCACCAAGGCAACGAUCAGUAGGGGUUCUGAGAGGAAGGUCCCCCACAUUGGAACUGAGACACGGUCCAAACUCCUACGGGAGGCAGCAGUGAGGAAUAUUGGUCAAUGGGCGAAAGCCUGAACCAGCCAAGUAGCGUGAGGGAAGACUGCCCUACGGGUUGUAAACCUCUUUUGUUUGGGAAUAAAGUGCGGGACGCGUCCCGCAUUGCAUGUACCAUUUGAAUAAGGACCGGCUAAUUCCGUG
rnacentral:rRNA from 1 species